AAGGGAGGUCCGGGACAGGGAAAAUUGCUAAUUUCUCCCACCCAUGGGUCAAAUCCAUGGCUCCCUUA
rnacentral:tRNA from 1 species